GAUCUGAUGGUGUAGUGGUGAUCACAUCUGUCUCACACACAGAAAUUCCGCGGUUCGAGUCCGCCCGAGCUCU
rfam:Angiostrongylus costaricensis strain Costa Rica genome assembly, scaffold: ACOC_scaffold0002538